rnacentral:rRNA from 1 species
AUUGAACGCUGGCGGAAUGCUUUACACAUGCAAGUCGAACGGCAGCACGGACUUCGGUCUGGUGGCGAGUGGCGAACGGGUGAGUAAUACAUCGGAACGUGCCCAGUCGUGGGGGAUAACGUAGCGAAAGCUACGCUAAUACCGCAUACGAUCUAAGGAUGAAAGCGGGGGAUCGCAAGACCUCGCGCGAUUGGAGCGGCCGAUGGCAGAUUAGGUAGUUGGUAGGGUAAAGGCCUACCAAGCCGAUGACCUGUAGCUGGUCUGAGAGGAUGAUCAGCCACACUGGGACUGAGACACGGCCCAGACUCCUACGGGAGGCAGCAGUGGGGAAUUUUGGACAAUGGGCGCAAGCCUGAUCCAGCCAUUCCGCGUGCAGGAUGAAGGCCUUCGGGUUGUAAACUGCUUUUGUACAGAGCGAAAAGGCUCUGGUUAAUACCCGGGGCUCAUGACGGUACUGUAAGAAUAAGCACCGGCUAACUACGUGCCAGCAGCCGCGGUAAAAC